rnacentral:rRNA from 1 species
UGGGAAGUAAAAAUCGUAACAAGGUCUCUGUUGGUGAUCGACGCGGUGGGGUCAUU